rnacentral:rRNA from 1 species
GAUGAACGCUGGCGGCGUGCCUAAUACAUGCAAGUAGAACGCUGAAGGAAGGAGCUUGCUCUUUCCGGAUGAGUUGCGAACGGGUGAGUAACGCGUAGGUAACCUGCCUGGUAGCGGGGGAUAACUAUUGGAAACGAUAGCUAAUACCGCAUAACAGUAGAUGUUGCAUGAUAUCUACUUAAAAGGUGCAAUUGCACCACUACCAGAUGGACCUGCGUUGUAUUAGCUAGUUGGUGAGGUAACGGCUCACCAAGGCGACGAUACAUAGCCGACCUGAGAGGGUGAUCGGCCACACUGGGACUGAGACACGGCCCAGACUCCUACGGGAGGCAGCAGUAGGGAAUCUUCGGCAAUGGACGGAAGUCUGACCGAGCAACGCCGCGUGAGUGAAGAAGGUUUUCGGAUCGUAAAGCUCUGUUGUAAGAGAAGAACGAGUGUGAGAGUGGAAAGUCCACACUGUGACGGUAUCUUACCAGAAAGGGACGGCUAACUACGUG